UACGGGGGGGGCAGGCGUUGUUCGGAAUUACUGGGCGUAAAGGGCUCGUAGGCGGCCAACUAAGUCGGAUGUGAAAUCCCCAGGCUUAACCUGGGAACUGCAUCCGAUACUGGAUGGCUUGAAUCCGGGAGAGGGAUGCAGAAUUCCAGGUGUAGCGGUGAAAUGCGUAGAUAUCUGGAGGAAUACCGGUGGCGAAGGCGGCAUCCUGGACCGGCAUUGACGCUGAGGAGCGAAAGCUAGGGGAGCAAACGGG
rnacentral:rRNA from 1 species